rnacentral:lncRNA from 1 species
UUUCGCAAGAACUUCAGAUCGUCCCUGGUGGCUUAGUGGUAGUUCGUAUGUCCUGUCUCUAUUAACGUUUGGGUUCAAAUCCCGUUGAACUCAUAUUUUUUAGCGGACUCUCAAUAUUUUUUUCCCUUUAUUUAUUCUUGCUAUUUUUUAUACUUUUUGUACUUCUAUGUGAGAAAUCGCUUUGCAAGUAGUAUAAAAUAUUGCUAUGUUGAACCUGGUCCGAAGAGAUGCAGCUAAUCAUUCUGUGUUGAUUUCUUAUUGAAUUCUUUCACCGCGUUCACCGCCAUUCACCGCAUAAUAGUCUCCUACACCGCAUGAGAUAAGCAGGUCAGAACAAUCUACUAUUGUCUUUAAUAUCACAAAAAUUUCAGAUCGUCCCUGGUGGCUUAGUGGUAGUUCGUCUGGCCUGUCUCUAUUAACGUUUGGGUUCAAAUCACGUUGAACUCAUAUUUUGUAGCGGACUCACAAUAUUUUUUUCCCUUUAUAUAAUCUGGCUAUUUUUUACUCUUUUUAUAGUUCUAUGUGAGAAAUCGCUUUGGAAGUAGUAUAAAAUAUUGCUAUGUUGAACCUGGCCCGAAGAGAUCCAGCUAAUCAUUCUCUGUUGACUUCAUAUUGAAUUCUUUCACCGCGUUCACCGCCAUUCACCGCAUAAUAGUCUCCUACACCGCAUGAGAUAAGCAGGUCACAACAAUCUACUAUUGUCUUUAAUUUCACAAAGAUUUGAGAUCGUCCCUAGUGGCUUAGUGGUAGUUUGUAUGGCCUGUCUCUAUUAACGUUUGGGUUCAAAUCACGUUGAACUCAUAUUUUGUAGCGGACUCACAAUAUUUUUUUUCCCUUUAUAUAAUCUGUCUAUUUUUUACUCUUUUUAUAGUUCUAUGUGCGAAAUCGCUUUGCAAGUAGUAUAAAAUAUUGCUAUGUUGAACCUGGCCCGAAGAGAUCCAGCUAAUCAUUCUGUGUUGAUUUCAUAUUGAAUUCUUUCACCGCGUUUACCGCCAUUCACCGCAUAAUAGUCUCCUACACCGCAUGAGAUAAGCAGGUCACAACAAUCUACUAUUGUCUUUAAUUUCACAAAAAUUUCAGAUCGUCCCUAAUGGCUUAGUGGUAGUUUGUCUGGCCUGUCUCUAUUAACGUUUGGGUUCAAAUCACGUUGAACUCAUUUUUUGUAGGGGACUCACAAUAUUUUUUUUCCCUUUAUAUAAUCUGGCUAUUUUUUACUCUUUUUAUAGUUCUAUGUGAGAAAUCGCUUUGCAAGUAGUAUAAAAUAUUGCUAUGUUGAACUUGGCCCGAAGAGAUCCAGCUAAUCAUUCUGUGUUGAUUUCAUAUUGAAUUCUUUCACCGCGUUCACCGCCAUUCACCGCAUAAUAGUCUCCUACACCGCAUGAGAUAAGCAGGUCACAACAAUCUACUAUUGUCUUUAAUUUCACAAAAAUUUCAG